GUGAGGAAUAUUGCGCAAUGGAGGCAACUCUGACGCAGCCAUGCCGCGUGCAGGAAGAAGGCGCUACGCGUUGUAAACUGCUUUUAACCGGGAAGAAACCCCAGGACGUGUCCUGGGUUGACGGUACCGGAGGAAUAAGCACCGGCUAACUUCGUGCCAGCAGCCGCGGUAAUACGAAGGGUGCAAGCGUUAUCCGGAUUCAUUGGGUUUAAAGGGUGCGUAGGCGGAGCGUUAAGUCAGUGGUGAAAUCCUGCAGCUUAACUGUAGACUUGCCAUUGAUACUGGCGCUCUUGAGUGCGCUUGAAGUGGGCGGAAUGUGCCGUGUAGCGGUGAAAUGCUUAGAUAUGGCACAGAACACCAAUUGCGAAGGCAGCUCACUAAGGCGAUACUGACGCUGAGGCACGAAAGCGUGGGGAUCGAACAGGAUUAGAUACCCGUGUAGUCCC
rnacentral:rRNA from 1 species